UACGGAAGGCAGCAGUGGGGAAUAUUGCACAAUGGGCGCAAGCCUGAUGCAGCCAUGCCGCGUGUAUGAAAAAGGCCUUCGGGUUGUAAAGUACUUUCAGUCGUGAGGAAGGUGUUAAGGUUAAUAACCUUAGCAAUUGACGUUAGCGACAGAAGAAGCACCGGCUAACUCCGUGCCAGCAGCCGCGGUAAUACGGAGGGUGCGAGCGUUAAUCGGAAUUACUGGGCGUAAAGGGCACGCAGGCGGUUAAUUAAGUUGGAUGUGAAAUCCCCGGGCUUAACCUGGGAAUGGCAUUCAAGACUGGUUAGCUAGAGUCUUGUAGAGGGGGUAGAAUUCCGAUGUGUAGCGGUGAAAUGCGUAGAGAUGUGGAGGAAUACCGGUGGCGAAGGCGGCCCCUGGACAAAGACUGACGCUCAUGUGCGAAAGCGUGGGGAGCAAACAGGGAUUAGAU
rnacentral:rRNA from 1 species